AUUUAUCUAUUGUAAAUCGAUGGUAAUGAUAUAAGCAACUCCUUAUAAACAUGUGAUCUAUAUUAUAUAUUGAAUGGAAAAUAUGAGACAAUCCUUAUAAGUCUGUGAAUUACAUAUAGUAAUUUUGUAUCUUGGUAGAUUCUAUAUUUAGCAUCAUUGAAUCAAAUUUAAAGUGCUGUGUUUUGCAUGUUUUGGGCUCCAAAAUAAAUAGGUCACUGGUGAAAUUCACUGGCUCGGCAGGUGACUCAUAGGUCUCCAAGGAAACUGUCAUCUUAAUCAGUUAUUUUUAACAACGCAAUUGAACAAUGCAAAGCGUAUGUGUCUGUUUAAGUGAACGCAAGAAUUUUAAUCCUUUCAAUGAAUUGGCGGGCUUGAACAAAACAGAUAUGUCCGGAUCUGUAAGUGAACGCAAGAAUGUUAACCAGUGAGAAGAAAGAAAUGCCGGGAUGGAAAAACCCUCUUCACUCUGAGACUGUUGAUGUGGCAUUUUCUGUAUAUGGAAGGGACUGAUUUAUAUGUGUGGGAAAACAUGGAUUCUAACAACAAAUAAACAACAGAAAAAGUGAUAAAUGAUUCAGAUAUGACCUUUCAAAACUGUACAAUUAGAACUUGAAGACUCUUAUAUCAAAGCGAUAUUUAGUAGUGGACAUAGUGAUGUGGAAUGAACUUGAGAAACGUUGAACUUUCUACCUCUUCCCUCUUUUAGUUACAUUCCAUGGAAUACUUUAAUGAAAGUGAAAGUGGCAAAGAAUACAUUGUGAUACAUUUUAGGAGGGAAAGGGUAUUUGACCAAACAUGGUGAAAUUAAUUGUGUCAUAAAAUCUGGGAAAUAAAAAUUACAGAAUUUAAUUAAUUUUGUAAGACAUUUGUAUUGAGGAAUAAUUGUGCCAAUGAUUUUUCAAGAAACAGCUUUGUAUCAACGUUGAAUCAACGCCGAACGUAAUAACUAUAUUUUG